rnacentral:rRNA from 1 species
GAUCAUUACCGAGUUUACAACUCCCAAACCCCUGUGAACAUACCACUUGUUGCCUCGGCGGAUCAGCCCGCUCCCGGUAAAACGGGACGGCCCGCCAGAGGACCCCUAAAACUCUGUUUCUAUAUGUAACUUCUGAGUAAAACCAUAAAUAAAUCAAAACUUUCAACAACGGAUCUCUUGGUUCUGGCAUCGAUGAAGAACGCAGCAAAAUGCGAUAAGUAAUGUGAAUUGCAGAAUUCAGUGAAUCAUCGAAUCUUUGAACGCACAUUGCGCCCGCCAGUAUUCUGGCGGGCAUGCCUGUUCGAGCGUCAUUUCAACCCUCAAGCACAGCUUGGUGUUGGGACUCGCGUUAAUUCGCGUUCCUCAAAUUGAUUGGCGGUCACGUCGAGCUUCCAUAGCGUAGUAGUAAAACCCUCGUUACUGGUAAUCGUCGCGGCCACGCCGUUAAACCCCAACUUCUGAAUGUUGACCUCGGAUCAGGUAGGAAUACCCGCUGAACUUAAGCAUAUCAAUAAGCGGAGGAA